rfam:Gossypium hirsutum cultivar TM-1 chromosome 7, whole genome shotgun sequence
AUUGCCCAUCGCUCCUACUCAUUGAAUGGUACGGUGAAGUGUUUGGAUCACAGCGAUGUUGGUGGUUGGUUGCUCGCUACAUCGAAAGAAGUCCUCUAAACCUUAUCAUUUAGAGGAAGAAGUCAUAACAAGGUUUUUGUAGGUUAACCUGCGGAAG